AUUGAACGCUGGCGGCAUGCUUUACACAUGCAAGUCGAACGGUAACAGGCCGCAAGGUGCUGACGAGUGGCGAACGGGUGAGUAAUGCAUCGGAACGUGCCCAGUCGUGGGGGAUAACGCAGCGAAAGCUGUGCUAAUACCGCAUACGAUCUAUGGAUGAAAGCGGGGGACCGUAAGGCCUCGCGCGAUUGGAGCGGCCGAUGUCAGAUUAGGUAGUUGGUGGGGUAAAGGCCCACCAAGCCAACGAUCUGUAGCUGGUCUGAGAGGACGACCAGCCACACUGGGGCUGGGACACGGCCCAGACUCCUACGGGAGGCAGCAGUGGGGAAUUUUGGACAAUGGGCGCAAGCCUGAUCCAGCAAUGCCGCGUGCAGGAAGAAGGCCUUCGGGUUGUAAACUGCUUUUGUACGGAACGAAAAGGUCUGGGUUAAUACCCUGGGCCGAUGACGGUACCGUAAGAAUAAGCACCGGCUAACUACGUGCCAGCCGCCGCAGUAAAAC
rnacentral:rRNA from 1 species